UCCCGCUCCCCGGACGAGUCCUCAACAAGUUGGAGGGAGGCAGGAGCGCAGGGGUUAAGCUCGGGGAUCUGCAAUUACCAAGAUCGUGACCCUCCCACACAGUACAGUAACUUAUAUACUUACCUGGAAGCGCCCGCUUUGCCGUUGGGCAGACACCCAUGGGGGAGGGGAGGGGCACGAGGGAAGCGAGUUUACCAGAGAGGGCCGCUUCCAGACGGCUGAAGCACAAACCGAACCAUUGCACUCCCAAGACUCCCGGACUCAGGUGGUCAAGCCUGUCCUGAUACUGAUGGCGGUGCAUGAAGGGUGACCACCCAAGGGAGGCAGUCUCGGAGGUUACGGAUGCUGAAAAGCCUGACAGGGAUCUCAAGAGUCCCAGGAACUUAAUUUCUUACAUGGAAAGCAAGUUUGGGAAUUCGGUGGUUCUGCCAGUUCAAGCAACUGAAGGAAUCGUUUGCAGCUGGUGCUGGACUCAAGUCCCGCUAUCUAGCUCAAGCUGUCCUCGAACUUUGGAUUGCUGGUGGCCAUGGCCGAGGAGCAGCAGGUGUCAUUGAAGUUCAAGGUGCCAGCUCACCAGGAGGCAACUCCCUGGAGGGUGAAUCUCGGACAGCAAGUCCCUGAGACCACAGACCCCAGAGUGUCUUUCACGUCUACUGUACCUUUACAUGUUUGCUACCGCCAUCUUUCUCUGGUAUCUGCUAUGGUGUGAAUGGGUGUGGGGAGAUUCCCACUGCCUGUAAUAUAGUGUGCUUAUCUCAUGGAAAAAUUCCAUUCUGCUGGGCAUUCUUGCCUGUGGAUUAUUUUGAAGAUAAUUCCUUCCUCAGCUGUACUGUCUGAUUGAUAAUAAUAAGUUUGAAGUUAAGAGUGUUGAUGGUUCAAGAAAUAAACAAGGACAUGUCACACACUAGAAUACAUGAGUUUCUAUUGAGGAGCUGUAUAGACUGUGGCUUAGGUUAACGAUUAAGAAAAACAAUUGAGUCCUGGUAGACCAGCUAGCUUAAAUUCUUUUAACCUUAAUGUUGGGAGAUGUGUUCACAGGUUUUGGAGUGCUGAAACAAAGAUUUGAAAAUAAGAUUAUACUAGAUGUUCUUGUCAAAUAACUUCGAGGUGAAAAACUCAAGAAGACAAUCUAAAGUUUUAGAAAGACACAAGAGCCGGGCGGUGGUGGCGCACGCCUUUAAUCCCAGCACUCAGGAGGCAGAGGCAGGCGGAUCUCUGUGAGUUCGAGACCAGCCUGGUCUACAAGAGCUAGUUCCAGGACAGGCUCCAAAACCACAGAGAAACCCUGUCUCGAAAAAAACCAAAAAAAAAAAAAAAAAAAAAGACACAAGAGUUGAAUGCAGAAUGCGUUAAGGCCAGGGAGCAAGAACAAAGCAGCCAAUUAUCAUUAUUUGACAUGCUUUUCUUGCUAGGAUUGGUUGAUGACCAGAAAUGAUGAUUAAUUUUUUGUACCCAUUUUUGCUCUUAAUCUCCUGAUAGAAAAAACUAAUGAUGCAUGGGUAUGCACUCUUAAGAUUUAAAGUAGAGCUGACUGAUUCUUUUUAUAUAUAAAAGUUUAGGUUUGUGAUUCCUUUAAGAUUCUUUGCCGGGUGGUGGUGGCACACGCCUUUAAUCCCAGCACUCGGGAGGCAGAGGCAGGCGGAUCUCUGAGAGUUCGAGGCCAGUCUGGUCUACAAGAGCUAGUUCCGGGACAGGCACUAAAGCUACAGAGAAACCUUGUCUCGAAAAACAAAAAAAAAACAAAACAAAAACAAAACAAAACAAAAAAAGAUUCUUUAUAAUACUACCUUUAAAGGAAAGCAAUAAAGGAAUAGGUCCUUUCUUUGUAACUACAAAAUGCAGCCUGCCAGUAAAAGACCUGACUGAGAAGAAUACCUUGUUGCCCACAAAGUUAACUUGUAACUGUGAAUGGGUGUGCUUGGGUAUGAAUGUACAUGGGCUCUUGGGGUAAUUUGUUUUUCACCUGUAAUACAUAAAAUGUUUAAUAAUGUAAGGGAUAUGGAAAACAUGUUGUUUUUUUACUGUUUGUUUUGUAUUCAUUGUAAUCAUUUACAGAAUGUAACCACAUUGGAAUUCCUAUAUUGCCUGAAAAACUUUGUUAGGAUAUAUAAGCUGUAGAAAAAAAUAUACAAUAGAAAGAACACAGAAGCCAGGACAGGCUCCAAAACCACAGAGAAACCCUGUCUCGAAAAACAAAAAACAAAAACCAAAAAAAAAAAAAAAAGAAAAGAAAGAGGCUGGAGAGAUGGCUCAGUGAUUAAGAGCAUUGCCUGCUCUUCCAAAGGUCCUGAGUUCAAUUCCCGGCAACCACAUGGUGGCUCACAACCAUCUGUAAUGAGGUCUGGUGCCCUCUUCUGGCCUGCAGACAUACACACAGACAGAAUAUUGUACACAUAAUAAAUAAAUAAAUAAAAAAAAAAGAAAGAAAGAAAGAAAGAAAGAACACAGAAGAAUAAGGAAUAAAGAAGGAAACCAUCAAGAAAGAAUGUGAGUGUCUUUUUCCCUAACCCCCUCAGAUAAAAAAAGUCUUAGUAUGUGCUUUGAGGAUUGCCUUUGAGGCCUGUGCUCCUGGGAGCUGGCAGCCCAGGUGCAACACUGUUGCAACCUCCCAAUGAUGGGCAAACAUUACUGUGCUAUUUUAUAACUACUUUGUAUUUUGUGUAGUCUUUUUGUAUACAUCAAAUAUAUUUACCAAGAAAAUAAAGAUAAAGAAAAAAGCAAUAGAAAUCAAAUUAACACGAUUCUUUGGGAGAGGAAAAUCCCUGAAUAAUAUUAGUAAAUGCUGAGUUCAUUACAAACAUAAGCAUACAGAUAAAGAAAAUGCUGAAGGCAUUCCUCUGUAUUCUUUCCUUUGUGUUUGCUUGUGGAACUGUCCUAAUAUUUGCAGGUUUCUGUCUGGUAGCAAGACAUUGAUAAAACAUCCCAAUUAGCUUUCCCUUUACCUAGUUGGAGCUGACUUAACUAUGGCUCUGAUUGUUUUUUAAAGGUGAAAGUACCCUGGAUAAGAUAACUGGAUUGAUUACUCGGUCAGGGGAUACAAUGAACUAAAGCAGUUACUGGGGCAAGGCUAAUGUGUCAGCUACCAACCCCUGAAGGUACAAAAUGGCUUGGCACACUUUCCUGGUGUUUAUAAGUCUGUGUGAGCCUUUGAAUUGAAAAUGUAAGGGAGCUACUAAAGCUGUACUUUUACUUAUUGAUUGCUCUCAUUCGUGUUGGGUGUGCAUGUGUGUCCUGUGGCAUGUUUGUGUAGGUAGGAGGGCUGCCUGAGGGAGUUGGUUCUCUCUACCAUGUGGGCCCCAGGGAUCUAAGCCGGGUCAUCAGGCCUGGUGCCAAGCACAUUCCUCCUCUGAGCCAUCUCACUAGACUUAAAGCUGUAUACUUAAAUCUGUUUCAAACUGGCCAAUCUCAGUUUCUAUUUUUUUAAAGAAAUUUUUAUUUAUUUUAUUUUUAUUUCAUGUGCAUUGGUGUUUUGCCUGCAGGUAUGUCUGAGGAUGUCAGAUCCCUUGGAACUAGAGUUACACACAGUUGUGAGGUGCCUUAUGGAUGCUAGGAACUGAACCUGGGUCCUCUGGAAGAGAAGUCAGUGCUCUUAACCCUGAUGUCACCUCCCCAGCCCACGUCUCAGUUUUAUUUGAAAACUGUGUUUGUGGAAGCGACCAUGAGUGUGAGCUCAAGUGCUGUGUGUGUAGAAAUGGAGUUUUUAAGUGCAGAACAACUUGUUGGCAGGGCGACCUGGUUGUGACUUCCAUCACCCACUGAGUGCCAGGGUAGAUUCGCUUGAUCUAGCUGGCCAGGCUAAUGUCCUCUUCUCCUUCUUUGCUUUUGGAAGAAGCUGAGUUUCCCUGAUAAAGGAGGUCAGAGGUAUGUGAACAGCUGCCCAUCCCGGCUGGACUCAUGAUGGCCUGUUUCUAGAGCUAGGACCAUGGCACUUAGGGGUUCUUGCAGUAGAAGGUCUACUGAAAAGCUGCUUUCUUUGGAAGAAGAGUGAGGCUAUUGUGUUUGGAUGCAGUUAUGCACAGGAAAAUGCUUAACAUGAAAACCCAAUAUUCUUUUAUUAUGGUAAUGUUAUCACUUAAGGAAAUCAAAUAGUAACUUCUAAUUAGUUUCUAAUGCUAAAGAUUCUAUUUAUUUUAAAUUAGUUUGUUAUUCAUAGAACAUUUUUUUCCUACCCAGGAUUUGACAGCUGGAUGUAGAAUGGAAUCAAAGCUCAAUGUGUCCAGCUGGGGUUGUAGCUCAGUUGACAGAGCACUUGCCUAGGAGGUGCAAAGUGUGCUUCCCAGCAUGGAGGAAAUGGCUCUGUUGUGUACACCUACAAUUCAAGCACUUGGAACCGGAGGGAGGAGGGAACCAGAAGCUCAAGUGCAGGGAGUUUGGGGCCAACCUGGGCUACAUGAGAGCAUGCCAAAAAACAAAACAAAGCAAGCAUAAUGUGUUGAACAAUGAUGAAAUGAAGAGGUUAGGAAGGGUCUGGCACUUGUCUCAAAGGUUUAGCUAUGAUGUUAUUCUUAAAAACUUCUGACACCUAUGACAUUACCUAGUUAUGAAAUUUUCUUUUAUACAAUGAACUGUUCCCAAUUUGCUGUGAAGACUGGAUGUGAGUUUGUAGAUAUUUGUAUCAAAAUGUAGAAAAACUGCCAAUGAACUUCAAUGGAAAUCUGUGUGUAUGACUACAAUACAAUGUUGUUAAAUCAUAUUUUUUACAUUAAAGAUUAUUCUCAACUUGAAAUCUUUUAAAUAAAUUAUUCUGAAGACCAA